rnacentral:rRNA from 1 species
UCGCCUGUUUAUCAAAAACAUGUCUUUUUGUAAUUUAUUUAAAGUCUGACCUGCCCAUUGAAUAAUUUUAAAAGGCUGCAGUAUUUUGACUGUACAAAGGUAGCAUAAUCAUUAGUUUUUUAAUUGAAAACUUGUAUGAAUGGUUCAACGAAAUAUUUUCUGUUUCAUUAAAAUUUAUAUUGAAAUUAAUUUUUUAGUAAAAAAGCUAAAAUAAUAUUAAAAGACGAGAAGACCCUAUAGAGUUUUAUAUAUUUUAUUUUUUAAUUUAUUAAUAAUAAUUAAAAUUUAAUUAUAAAUUAUAUUUUGUUGGGGUGACAAUAAAAUUUUAUAAUCUUUUAUUAUUUUUAAACAGUUAUUUUUGAUUAAUUGAUCCAUUAUUAGUGAUUAUAAGAUUAAAUUACCUUAGGGAUAACAGCGUAAUUUUUUUGAAGAGUUCUUAUCAAUAAAAAAUUUUGCGACCUCGAUGUUGGAUUAAGAUUAAUUUUAGGUGCAGAAGCUUAAAUAUUAGGUCUGUUCGACCUUUAAAUUCUUACGUGAUCUGAGUUCAGACCGGA